rnacentral:rRNA from 1 species
AUAUACAACUUUCAGCAACGGAUCUCUUGGCUCUCGCAUCGAUGAAGAACGCAGCGAAAUGCGAUAAGUAAUGUGAAUUGCAGAAUUCAGUGAAUCAUCGAAUCUUUGAACGCACCUUGCGCUCCUUGGUACUCCGAGGAGCAUGCCUGUUU